rnacentral:rRNA from 1 species
AGAGUUUUUCAUAACUCCCUAAACCCAUGUGAACCUUAUACUCUGCGUUGCCUCGGCAGGUCGCGCUUACCCGGUAGUGCUCUACCCUGUAGAGACCUACCCGGUAGCCGCGGUGAAAGCCUGCCGGCGGCCCAACCUGAACUCUUUAUUAUUUUGAAUCUUCUGAACUUGAUAACUAAAUAAAGUUAAAACUUUCAACAACGGAUCUCUUGGUUCUGGCAUCGAUGAAGAACGCAGCGAAAUGCGAUAAGUAAUGUGAAUUGCAGAAUUCAGUGAAUCAUCGAAUCUUUGAACGCACAUUGCGCCCAUUAGUAUUCUAGUGGGCAUGCCUGUUCGAGCGUCAUUUCAACCCUUAAGCCCCAGUUGCUUAGUGUUGGGAGCCUACAGUGAUGUAGCUCCUGAAAGUUAGUGGCGGAGUCGGUUACACACUCUAGACGUAGUAAAUAUCUUAUAUUGUCUCGCCUACGGUUGUGCCGGUCCCCUGCCGUAAAAACACCCUAAUUUUCUCAAGGUUGACCUCGGAUCAGGUAGGAAUACCCGCUGAACUUAAGCAUAUCAAUAAGCGGAGGAAAAGAAACCAACAGGGAUUGCCCUAGUAACGGCGAGUGAAGCGGCAACAGCUCAAAUUUGAAAUCUGGCCCUCGGGUCCGAGUUGUAAUUUGUAGAGGAUGCUUUUGGCGCGGUGCCUUCCGAGUUCCCUGGAACGGGACGCCUUAGAGGGUGAGAGCCCCGUACGGUUGGACACUAAGCCUCUGUAAAGCUCCUUCGACGAGUCGAGUAGUUUGGGAAUGCUGCUCUAAAUGGGAGGUAAAUUUCUUCUAAAGCUAAAUAUUGGCCAGAGACCGAUAGCGCACAAGUAGAGUGAUCGAAAGAUGAAAAGCACUUUGAAAAGAGGGUUAAAUAGCACGUGAAAUUGUUGAAAGGGAAGCGUUUGCGACCAGACCUUUUCCUGGCGGAUCAUCCGGUGUUCUCACCGGUGCACUUCGCCAGGUUGAGGCCAGCAUCGGUUUCGGCAGGGGGAUAAAAGCGUCGGGAACGUAGCUCCUCCGGGAGUGUUAUAGCCCUUCGUAUAAUACCCUUGCGGGGACCGAGGACCGCGC